rnacentral:lncRNA from 12 species
GGGGCCGGGAGGGAACGGACCGGGGCUCGGCCCGGCUCUCGCUCGCGUCUGCGGGCUCCGCUGCGGGUCCUAGCGAAGCUCCCGCGGUACACGCGGUGGGAACCCAGCCCUCCGAGGGGUGCUGAGGCGGACACCCGAAAGGAAAAGGGGUAUUUAUCAGGUUCACUUCCAGUUUCCAUUGCGAGUGCCCCAGAGCAGGAGGAGCAGCUUCCCCCCGAGGAAGCGCCUCCCGUCGGGCAGAGGGCAGCGGGCAGCGGGCGCUGGCCCCUCCCGUUUCUCCAGCCCUGGCCACUCUCGGCAGCCCGGGGGUCGCAGCAGGAGCGGCUCGGUGAGAACCAAUACGGAGAAGCAACAGUUCCCCGGCACGUCGAGGGAAGGGAAGAACCUGCUUUUCCCCCGGGCACGGCUUUCUCCGGCAUGGGGAGGGAGCGAGCGGCGGCACGGCUGGGCUGCCUUGCUCCGCGGCUCUUGCCGGGCCCCCCCCCCCCCCUUGCUCCGCGGCUCUUGCCGGGCGCGGGGGCGAGUGUUGGGGAACGGCUACGGGAGCAACAAAAAAUAGACCUCAGGGUGCAAGAAGUGAGGAAGCAGUGGCUCUCCAGACAGCCUGUCCUUACACGCCGUCUCCACGUCGAUGGAAAACUCCAAACCUCGGUGGAAAACUCCAAUACUCCAGGCACUAGUAAUGAUAAGAGGAACAAUAAUGACAACAAUGAUAAUGUGUUUCCGUAUAUUAAAGCAUAGAAAAUAAAUA